GUACACUCCUGCGGGAGGCAGCAGUGGGGAAUAUUGGACAAUGGGCGCAAGCCUGAUCCAGCCAUGCCGCGUGAGUGAUGAAGGCCCUAGGGUUGUAAAGCUCUUUCACCGGUGAAGAUAAUGACGGUAACCGGAGAAGAAGCCCCGACUAACUUCGUGCCAGCAGCCGCGGUAAUACGAAGGGGGCUAGCGUUGUUCGGAUUUACUGGGCGUAAAGCGCACGUAGGCGGACUAUUAAGUCAGGGGUGAAAUCCCGGGGCUCAACCCCGGAACUGCCUUUGAUACUGGUAGUCUUGAGUUCGAGAGAGGUGAGUGGAAUUCCGAGUGUAGAGGUGAAAUUCGUAGAUAUUCGGAGGAACACCAGUGGCGAAGGCGGCUCACUGGCUCGAUACUGACGCUGAGGUGCGAAAGCGUGGGGAGCAAACAGGAUUAGAAACCCCUGUAGUCCC
rnacentral:rRNA from 1 species